AUACACACACACACACACUAUAUAUAUAUAUAUAUAUAUAUAUAUAUAUAUAUAGUGUGUGUGUGUGUGUAU